rnacentral:rRNA from 1 species
GUAGGUGGCAAGCGUUGUCCGGGAAUUAUUGGGGCGUAAAGCGCGCGCAGGCGGUUCUUUAAGUCUGAUGUGAAAGCCCACGGGCUCAACCGUGGAGGGUCAUUGAAAACUGGAGAACUUGAGUACAGAAGAGGAAAGCGGAAUUCCACGUGUAGCGGUGAAAUGCGUAGAGAUGUGGAGGAACACCAGUGGCGAAGGCGGCUUUCUGGUCUGUAACUGACGCUGAGGCGCGAAAGCGUGGGGAGCAAACAGGAUUAGAUACCCUGGUAGUCCACGCCGUAAACGAUGAGUGCUAAGUGUUAGGGGGUUUCCGCCCCUUAGUGCUGCAGCUAACGCAUUAAGCACUCCGCCUGGGGAGUACGGCCGCAAAGGCUG